rnacentral:tRNA from 1 species
GGGGUUGUGGCUCAGUGUGAGAGGGUCUGCUUGGCACACAGAAGUCCCCAGGUUCAAUCCCUGGCAUCUCCC